GCCUGAAGGGGUAUUUGGCCUAAUUCGUAAUCAGUAGGUCCGCAGUUCGAUUCCGCGUUCCGGCACCA
rnacentral:tRNA from 1 species